rnacentral:lncRNA from 1 species
UUUUCUUUUUAAAUGAAUGAUUUCUAUGUGUAUGGUUUUAACAAUGUGUGUGUGUGUGUGUGUGUGUGUGUGUGUGUACACAUACGUGCAUGCUGUUUGUGUGUUUGGUGCCCUCUAAAAUUAGAAAGCAUUAGAUUCCCCUGGAACUAGAGUUAUAGUCUCCAUGAGACACGGUAUAGGUGCUGGAAUCCAUCCUAAGUUCUCUAGAAAAGCAGCCAGUGCUCAUAACCACUGAGAUCUCUCUUCAGCCCUACUUUUUAAGUAUUAUAGUAUGAAAUGAAUACAAAUAUGUUGUUGGGGACCAGAGUUUUCACUAUGGCAGAAGGAAUAUACACAUAAGGAAUGAAUGGAGGGAUUUAAGUAGGAAAAUAUCCUAUAGUUUCUUUAAGUAUAGGGGUUAAGUGGUCAAGAGUAGCAUCGGUAAGCUGGUAAAUCCUUAAUCCCAGCAUGUGGGAGGCAGAGGCAAGCAGAUCUGAGUUGGAGGUCAGCCUGAUCUACAAAGUGAGUUCCAGGACAGCUAGGGCUUUGUUACAUAGAGAAACCUGUUUCAAAAAAAAAAAAAAAAAAAAAAAGAAAGAAGAAAAAGAAAAAAAAAGGCAUUGGUAACAAGGUAAGACUUGGCACUUCGCCAAGUGUACUAUUCCUGUCAGAAACUGUUAAGCCUGGCAUGGUGACACAUUAAGAGACCUUCUACUGUUGUAGAAGACUUGAGUUCAGUUCCCGGUACCCACUAAUUGUUCAGCUCACAGUCACCCAUAACUCCAGCUCCAAGUGAUCUAACACCCUCUUCUGCUCUCCAAGGUAACUGGAAAUGUGUGUGUGGUAUACAGACAUGCAUGCAGGCAAGAUAACCAUU